CACUGCCAGGCCCAUCCAGGCCACCUCUUUAUUCUCCAGUGAAGCAAAGCAAGAGGAGAGGAGACCCCCCCCCCCCACCUCCCAUAGCAGACCCCCUCCGCUUGGACACCCUAGGCCACCUCUGGCACGGACCCCUCUUCCUGCAGCAAGCCAAGGAGGGGGAGGCAUCACUCCCUGUUUCGGGGGGCACACGGGGGGGGAUUUACCCGAGGGGAGGGGCGUGGGCGCCCCCCCCAGCGGCUCGAACAAAGGGGUAUGCGGGCGGUUCCCGCGGGGUGAGGGGCAGAGUCGCCCACGCUGGGGGAGGGGGUCCAUAUACCACACGUGGGCGGGGGGGAGGAAGGCAUCGCCCACAGAAUCCCCCCCAGCCUUGCCCGCAAUCCCCGCCUUUGUCUGCUCAGGCGCGGCAGCUCCAGCACCACGGACAGCGCCGGGAGCGCUGCGGAGGCGCGGGGCCCGCACCGAGGGGCUCCUUCACAUGCACCCUCUACCUGGGGCGCCCGCCACACCCCAAAAUCCCCCCACAGCCCUCCUGCCCCCGGCCCCCACACCCAUUUUUUCACCCCUUUUUUCUAAAGAAAGCGCAUCCAGGAGCCUCCGCUCCUCCGCAGCCUCCCCCUCCCCCCUUCGCGAGGGUGGGAGCGGCAGCACUCCCCCUCCCCGGUCUUCGCCGCCGCCUCGGUGUUCCGGAGCGCAGCCCCCAGCUGAGGUCGGAGGCGGGGGAGGAGGGCAGCCGGAUCCGGAGCAGGGAGGGUCCAAGCAGCGUCUCCGUGGAACUGGCGGCCGGGGAAGGGGGAAGGCGAGAAGGAUGCGGGGGCAGGGGGGGGAAUCCGACAGUCCUUCGCCUCCCCCGCCCCUCGGUGCGCGGCCCCUUCCGCCCCCGGCGCCGGGGGCCUGGUACCUCCCUAACGGUCCAGGCUGAUCGUCCAGUGCUUGGACCCGUCUCCGCCCUCGCCCUCGCUCUUGAGGUCCUGGAAGAGUUGCGUGAAGUAGUGCGGGUCCGCGUUGAUUCGCAGCAUCUUGGCGCUGAGGCGCUGGAUGAUGCCCAGGCAGCGCUCCCAGAAGCGCCCCUUGUCUCCCUCAACCAGGAAGGGCUUGAGCGGGUAGGAGAUCUCGUUGCC
rnacentral:lncRNA from 1 species